GGGAGUGUGGCUUAGUGGCUAGAGCCUGGGCCUGGGAGUCAGAAGGACCUGGGUUCGAAUCCCGGCUCCACCA
rnacentral:tRNA from 1 species